rnacentral:rRNA from 1 species
GACGAACGCUGGCGGCGUGCUUAACACAUGCAAGUCGAACGGAAAGGCCCUGCUUUUGUGGGGUGCUCGAGUGGCGAACGGGUGAGUAACACGUGAGUAACCUGCCCUUGACUUUGGGAUAACUUCAGGAAACUGGGGCUAAUACCGGAUAGGAGCUCCUGCUGCAUGGUGUGGGUUGGAAAGUUUCGGCGGUUGGGGAUGGACUCGCGGCUUAUCAGCUUGUUGGUGGGGUAGUGGCUUACCAAGGCUUUGACGGGUAGCCGGCCUGAGAGGGUGACCGGCCACAUUGGGACUGAGAUACGGCGCAGAAUCCUACGGGAGGCAGCAGUGGGGAAUAUUGCACAAUGGGCGGAAGCCUGAUGCAGAAACGCCGCGUGCGGGAUGACGGCCUUCGGGUUGUAAACAGCUUUCGCCUGUGACGAAGCGUGAGUGACGGUAAUGGGUAAAGAAGCACCGGCUAACUACGUG